rnacentral:rRNA from 1 species
UGUCGUAGCUUGCUAUGAUAAAAAUUAGUGGCAGACGGGUGAGUAAUGCAUAGGAAUCUACCUAGUAGUAUGGGAUAGCCACUAGAAAUGGUGGGUAAUACUGUAUAAUCCCUGCGGGGAAAGAUUUAUCGCUAUUAGAUGAGCCUAUGUUAGAUUAGCUAGUUGGUAGGGUAAAGGCCUACCAAGGCGGUGAUCUAUAGCUGGUCUGAGAGGAUGAUCAGCCACACUGGAACUGAGAUACGGUCCAGACUCCUACGGGAGGCAGCAGUGGGGAAUAUUGGACAAUGGGCGCAAGCCUGAUCCAGCUAUGCCGCGUGAGUGAGGAAGGCCUUAGGGUUGUAAAACUCUUUCAGUAGGGAAGAUAAUGACGGUACCCCACAGAAGA